GGUGGCAUAGUGGUUAAAGCACUUGGCUGGUAACUAAAAGGUCAGUGGUUCAAACCCACCAGCCA
rnacentral:tRNA from 1 species